rnacentral:rRNA from 1 species
CAAUAGCGUAUAUUAAAGUUGUUGCAGUUAAAAAGCUCGUAGUUGAAACUUGGGCCUGGCUGGCGGGUCCGCCUCACCGCGUGCACUCGUCCGGCCGGGCCUUCCUUCUGAAGAACCUCAUGCCCUUCACUGGGCGUGCUGGGGAAUCAGGACUUUUACUUUGAAAAAAUUAGAGUGUUCAAAGCAGGCCUUUGCUCGAAUACGUUAGCAUGGAAUAAUAAAAUAGGACGUGCGGUUCUAUUUUGUUGGUUUUUGGAAUCGCCGUAAUGAUUAAUAGGGACAGUCGGGGGCAUUAGUACUCACAUGCUAGAGGUGAAAUUCUUGGAUUUUGUGAAGACUAACUUCUGCGAAAGCAUUUGACAAGGAUGUUUNCAUUAA